UAAGGGUCAAGCAUGCAGAUCCAUUUUCUGCCACCGAAUACAUUAGCAUGGGAUAAUGGAAUAGGACCCUGUCCUCCUAUUUUCAGUUGGUUUUGGCAGCGCGAGGACUAGGGUAAUGAUUAAUAGGGAUAGUUGGGGGCAUUAAUAUUUAAUUGUCAGAGGUGAAAUUCUUGGAUUUAUGAAAGAUUAACUUCUGCGAAAGCAUCUGCCAAGGAUGUUUUCAUUAAUCAAGAACGAAAGUUAGGGGAUCGAAGACGAUCAGAUACCGUCGUAGUCUUAACCAUAAACGAUGCCGACCAGCGAUUAGGAGACGUUGAAUACAAAACACCACCAUCGGCGCGGUCGUCCUUGGCGUCUCUCUCUCUCGGCCGGCCCGGGCACGGGGGCGGCUUAUGGCGGCGGUGACUGACACUGACACCCCUAGUGAAAAAGUGAGAAAAAAAUAAAAAAAAAAAACAAACACC
rnacentral:rRNA from 1 species